CCCAGUAGUUGUCAAUGAAUAAAAAAUCAAUAAUUCACAAUUAUAAGAAGUAUAAAAGGCUCUAAAAAAAUUUUUUCCAAUAAAAAUAGUGAUGUAUUUUCAAUUUGUUUGCCAAAAAACUCGUGUAAAUUAUAAAAUAUAGUAAGGAAAAUAAUAAUUAUGAAGUGUACGUCACUGAAUGUAGCCCUCGGCUGCUGUUACUUAGCGUCAUCGCUAAGCGACCAGAUGUGGAGAAAUUGAUGUUAAGAAAUUCAGUGAAACUUUUGGAGACUUUCAUCGAGUUAAAUUAUUAGUUUUCGUCACAAUGGGGAAGGAAAAAAAGUGAAAACAUUGUAUAAAAAUGCCUGAUUAAUGAAAAAGCGUGUCAAAAUAAUCAAAACAAUAACCUAACCUAGCUUAUAUCAAAUCAAGUUGUGGUUGAGGAACAUUUCACUGAUUAUUUUUUAAACCAAUAAGUAAUGAGAACAAAAAAAAAGACUAAAGUAAAAAAAGAAAAAUUACCAGCUACAGCCACAAGUCUGGAAUGGAGAUGUUAUCAUGAUUUGAAAGAAAAACAAAAAGCACAAGAUAAUUUGGAAAAA